rnacentral:lncRNA from 1 species
ACAGGAUAUAGCAUCCAGGACCUCGCUAUCUGACACCAUGAGGGGGGAAGUCUGGGUUUCUGCUUUUUGUUGUGGCGUCUCUGGUGUUGUGAGCAUCAGUGUGCCCUGCUAUGAAACAGGGCUACACAUUUGCCUGCUCCCUGCAGUAAUGCAGUUGUGUGGAGAGCCAAGAUUUAAUGCAGCAGUGUGCAGAGAAGUCAAUAAAUGGAGAUGACCAUAUGAAAUUGCAUCCUGACUCAUGAAAGAAAACUGAAGAUGCGUUCAUUGGGUAAAAAUAUGUUUUCCACUGUUCUUCUGAAAAUGUAUCUGUUCUGAAGUUUCAGUUACACAGAGGCUAUGUCCUUUAGUCUUCAAGACAGAGAGAUUUUCAUUCCUAUUUGCCUUGAUGAGGACUGGGCGCUAUUAUGGAACAUUUCCUCUUUAAAGAAAAACUUUAAAAUGGGAGAAUUUCACUUUUAAAAUUAAUCACCAUGGCAACCUUUACAGCAAAUUUCCAAACAUAGAAAGUUGCCUUUAAGAAGCAUGGUUCUCUAAGAGAAAGGUGAGUUUUUACAGCUUCUAACAAUGCUCCA